rnacentral:tRNA from 1 species
GGAGAGGUGGCAGAGCGGUUGAAUGCGGCAGACUCGAAAUCUGUUUUGAGGUCACACUCAACGGGGGUUCGAAUCCCCCCCUCUCCG